CUUUGUUUGUGAUUGCUGCUAAAGUCAGUAUUAUUUCUUUUUUUUAAGUUUGUUGUUGUUGUGUGUUUUGUUUUGUUUUUUGAGACGGAGCCUCGCUCUGUCUCCCAGGCUGGAGUGCGGUGGCGCAAUCUCUGCUCACUGCAAGCUCCGCCUCCCAUUUUCACGCCAUUCUCCUGCCUCAGCCUCCGGAGUAGCUGGGACUACAGGAGCUGCCACCACGCCCAGCUAAUUUUUUGUAUUUUUUUUUUUUUUUUAAGUAGAGACAGGAUUUCACCGUGUUAGCCAGAAUGGUCCUGAUCUCCUGAGCUCGUAAUCUGCCCGCCUUGGCCUCCCAAAGUGCUGGGAUUACAGGCGUGAGCCACUGCGCCAAGCCAAGUUUGGUUUUUUAACCAUGCUGUUCCAGCAAAGAUGGGACCUCAAACUACCACUGCAAGCCCAUGGACUUCCCAGAGAGGGUAACGGCUUGCUCUUCUUUCUGGAAUGUCCAUGCAUUUGGGUUUUGAUCAGCAGUUCCCUAUUGCUCUAACUGAUUUUAAGCUGUUCCUAUGACAAACUUAGAGACAGCGUCGGUGUCUGCUGCUGUGUCCCCAGGUAUUGUGUGGGUGGCACAGAUCUGGGCAGUUAGAUGGAGCUCUAUGCAUGAGAUGAAGCCACACUGGCGUGAAGCCUCGCUGCCCUGUUUGAGUGAGGCAGUCCCUGCUGCCCGAAUGCGUGAAGGUACAGCCAUUCAGUCUCAACAGUAUCUGAGAUGCACAUGAUCUCCAGUGAUGCCACUUUCCACACUUGAAGGGAUUUCCUCGAAGAUACAUCCUUCUCCCCACUGCACUUGCCAUCCACCCACUGGCUUCACUACCACGAGGAUCUGACUGUGUGGGCCAGCUCUUGGGCCAGGAAUCUUCUUUUGCAACUCUCUCUGCAAGUGAUUACAACGUAAGUGGUGAAUGGACCGUAAUUUGAAAACUGCCACUAAUCAAGUGUGGGUUAAGUACCAUCCAUUACUGUGGGCACUGUUCCAACACUGACACUGAGAACUAGUAAUGAUUUAAAAGAUUCUUAAUUUGAAGAGAAAAUGUUUUUUCUGUUUAAAAUAGCUAAUUCAAAUACAAAGGUUUAUGUUGCAGCGCAUUUCUAAGCGGGUGAUUGCCUCUAAGCCACCUCUUUGAUUCCUCUUUGGAGGGUCAUUCACUGACUAUACUGUAGUUAUUUUAAAUUGUAUUUUUUAUUUUAAAAUGAGAUAGGCAUCUCACUAUGUGGCCUGGGCUUCUCUUGAACUCCUGGGCUCAAUCAGCCCUUCUGCCUCAUAUGCUGGAGUAGCUGGGAUUAUAGGUGCAUGCCACCACACACAACUCUGCAAUUAUUUUUAUUUCAUUUCAUUUCAUUUUAUUUUGAGACAGGGUUUCACUGCCAUUCACCAGGUUAGAGUGCAGUGGCCUGAUCCCUGGCUCAGGUAAUUUUACCAUUCCAGGUGAUUCUCCCUCUUCAGCCUCCCAAGUAGAUAAACUACAGGAAUGCACCACCACACCUGGCUGAUUUUUGCACUUUUUGUAGAGACAGGGUUUUGCCAUGUUGCCCAGGUUGAUCUCAAACUCCAGGGUUCCAGUGAUCCUCCCACCUCAACCCCCAAGUACUGGGAUUACAAGCAUGAGGCACUGCACACAAGCCAUCAUGCCUUACCUGCAAUUAUUUUUAAAUGGUGUAUUUCUGCUCCUUUGGUCACUGACACUUCAGUGAGUCUUUCAUUCAAGUGUAAUGAUGUACGCAUUCAUCAAUGAUCAUUUCCCUUUAGGCAUAAGUUUAAAAGCAGCAAGUGACACAGGGAAGGUGGCAGGAGGGUAUGAAAAAUACAUCGUUUUGCUUUAAUUUUUGUUGUUCUUGGUUCAGUUUGUUUUGACUAUGAUGCGUCAGUAUCUAGAGCAAUACAAUAAAAGAAAACAAGUAUAUUUUUAAAAAGUGAUAUAUAACUGCAUUAGUUCUGCCCUUCUAGUACAGGGAGAAGAAUGCAGAACAUAGCAGAAAACCUGUGUUCAAAUUCUGAGCAUAAAAUGUAGCGUUGGCUCUGUGACCUGGAGAGAACUAUCACCUUCAGGAGUCUAAAUGCCCCCUCUGUUUCUA
rnacentral:lncRNA from 1 species